GCUGAUUUUACAAAAUACAUUGCUUCGAUUAUACAAAGUGGUGUGUUUUUAAAACAUAUUUCCUACUUUAUUUCAUCUGUGCAGAACUGCAAUACAGCGUACGAUUCGAUAAUAUUCAGACGGGGUCUUCAUUUAGCUUAUUAGUGCGUUGUUAGACAAUUGCCGCAGUAACGCAUUACGCUUCCUGUGCUUAGGUAGACGGGUGGUAGAAAAAAAACAGUAGCUUCGGUGUGAGUUUUACCAACAAAGUUUUACCCCUGGUUUGGAAUGGCUUCCCGAGAAGUGAUCAGCAUCGCGUCUGACGACAGUGACACCGAGGAGGACCAAAGCCCGCAGAAUAAAUUGGCGGCGGAAUACAAGCAAAGCAGCAGCUCGCGCAAACACAAAAAACACAAGCGGCACAAAAAGUCAUCGAAAUCGGAGAAAGGGGAUAAACAGCACAAACCAAAAAAGCAUAAAAAACACAAACGAAAGCAUCGUGGUGAGGAUGAGGAGGAAAGCAGCACCGAUGGUGAACUUGCUCGAAACGGUGCGCCUGCUGAAUCAUCCCGAAAGGUUGAACACGCGUCACGCGUUAAACAAUCUACCGAGGGCGAUGGUGAUGGUGAGGAACGGUUUAGAGGAAACGACCAGACGGUACGUUCGAAGAACAAUGGUAGCACGAAGGCUGUGGUUGAGAAGCGUAAAGGUCACAUUUCUACCGAUCCUGAUAAGCUGGUGCAAAUGUUAACCCAAGAUCUAGAAAAGCGUAAGGAGGACGUAGUUUCGGUGGAGAGCGAGAGUGAUGGCACCGCGGUGGAAGAUGCGCCCAGUCCGGAUGUUGCCGUCAUUGAGGACGAUGAGCUCAACUUGGAAGAUCUGAUGCGACAGAAAGCGCUGCUGCAGGCACGCCUCGGUGAGUAUGCAACGGACGAGGAAGACGAUGGGCUGAACAAGAUGGCAAGGACGGACUCGAACACCCGGGAGCGUCCUGUCAAAAAGAAACGCGUUGAAGCUGGCGAACCUGCAGUCAUCACCAUCGAUGGAGAUUCGACACCGGACGUCAACGAACAGGUACGCAGGAAAUCCAACAACGCGGUAAACCGUUCUUCGAAAGGUGGCAAAGACGAUCUUCAAGGAGCGGGACACAGGGGAACGAAUGCGGAAGCGGAAAGUAAAAAGGCGAAGGACCAUUCGUCCGAUGCACGAGCCCGACAGCUGGAACGGGAUCGUGACCGCGAGCGAGAACUGCGAGCCAGAGAAGAGCGGCGCAACAGAGAGGAGGACAAUUACAAGCGACGCAUGGCCGAAGAACGGUACGAGCGUGAGAAAGCACGGGAAAGGGACCGGGAGCGUGAUCGGGAACGGGCACGCGUCCGUCAGCGGGAACGUGAUCGUUCGCUGGAAAGACGACGUGAUCGACGCGGAUACUCACCUCGCGAUAGAAGCCGAGAGAGACGAUCGCUUGAGCGCGAUCGUGGUCGUGGUGGUGCUGUCGGUAGGUUGGGUUCGCGUGACCGUUUCCGUGGCCGUAGCAGGAGCCGCGAUCGCGACAUGCGCGGGCCUGGAGGUAGAAUAGAUCGGGAUAGGGAUGGUCGUGGUCGCGAUAGGGACCGUGAUCGAGGUUAUGGUCGCGGUAUUCAACGGAAUGGGCGCGAUGCGCGUGGCGGUGGACGAGGGCGAAAGGUGGACGAUGAUCGGUUUAAAGACUCUCUUAGCGAAGGUCUUAAGCAGCAGAAGGAAUCGAGCAGUGAAAGCGAAAUGGGAGAUAUCGACAUUGACGACGAAGAAGAUGAGGAAAAGAUUAUCGAAAAACGACGUAAAGAACGUGAAGCCCUGCUCAAGAAACUGGGUGUUGCAAAUGAGGACAGUAACACGAUGACGGAAGUGGUGGAACCACCCGAGCUUAGACAGGUCAGUAUGGGCAGUACGGCACCGUCAUCGCGAACCGAGAGCCGUGAAGCGACCAGCCAACGCGUGGACGAUCGCGACCGGGACGGAACAGAUCAGUCGCUUACCCCACCGAUACCGAACGAGCGGAAGGAUCUGAUGGAUAAGGUAGAACGUAAGCCGAAAGAAUCACCCGAACCACCGAAAGAUCUGGACAGGCAGAGUAAGGAACCGAAAAAUACUGCGAAAGAAAAUUCUAAACGUCCCGAAUGGGACAUGUUUGCCGAACAGGACAUCGACUCGAACUUCGACUCACCGGGCACGGUUGUGGCCAACAAGCAGGCGCACGAGAAUCCGGCCCUGACGGACAACUGGGACGAUGCGGAAGGCUACUACCGUGUGCGAAUUGGUGAAAUCCUGGACAACCGGUACGUGGUCGCUAACUACACGGGACAGGGCGUGUUCAGUACGGUAGUGAAGGCGAGGGAUCAGGCCCGUGGUAAUGCCUUCGUUGCGGUCAAAAUCAUUCGCAACAACGAGAUCAUGCAUAAGACAGGCUUGCGAGAAUUGGAGAUCUUGAAGAAACUCAACGACGCCGAUCCGAGCGACCGAUAUCACUGUCUACGUUUAUACAGACACUUUUUCCACAAGCAGCAUCUCUGUAUGGUUCUUGAGCCCCUGUCGAUGAAUCUGCGCGAAGUGUUGAAAAAGUAUGGCAAAAACGUUGGCCUGCAUAUCAAAGCCGUGCGUAGCUACACCCAGCAGCUGCUGCUAGCACUGAAGCUUUUGAAGAAGACCGGAAUUCUGCAUGCCGACAUCAAACCGGACAACAUUUUGGUGAACGAGAACAAUCUGGUGCUGAAGCUGUGCGAUUUUGGAUCGGCUUCAUCGAUAACGGAUAACGAAAUUACACCGUACCUUGUGUCCCGGUUCUACCGUGCGCCGGAAAUCAUUCUCGGCCUGGCGUACGAUUACGGCAUCGAUAUGUGGUCGGCCGGCUGCUCCAUCUAUGAGUUGUACACGGGCAAGAUCUUGUUUAGUGGGCAGUCCAAUAAUCAAAUGCUUAAAUUUUUCAUGGAUCUGAAAGGCAAGAUACCGAACAAGCUGAUUCGCAAGGGCCAGUUCAAGGAUCAACAUUUCGACCAGAACUGUAACUUUCUAUCGCACGAGAUAGAUAAGCUCACCGAACGGGAAAAGGUCGUGGUAGUAUCAAUGAUAAAGCCAACGCGGGAUCUGCAACAGGAAUUGAUCGCCGGACAAAAUCUCCCCGAUGACCAGAUACGGAAAGUGUCGCAACUGAAGGAUUUGUUGGACAAAGUGUUUGCGCUCGAUCCGGCGAAACGAAUUUCACUGAACCACGCACUGGCGCAUCCGUUCAUUCAAGAUAAGAUCUAAGGGAACGGCCACGGAUCAUACACAGCUGUGUACACGCAACGGAAGUAUUUUCCUUCGAAUUGAUGGAUCAACGUCUCAAUCAACAUCAAACAAUUGCACACUAUUAACGAUCCUUUUCUUACUUACGCUUCACUGAUCGACACUUCUUCAUCCGUGCACACACACACACCCACACGCCCGGUUGUUCAUCGAACGAUGAAGGAAGGCCCAACCUUCUUCUCCUUCCCCCCAAGAAUCUGAUGCACUCAUCAUGCAUUCGUAGGAAUUGAAGUGUGUGGUGGUGCCAUACGAAGAAGCCCACGAUGAGAACUUGUAGAAGCAUUUGCUCUUGUAUUUUCAUGAAGCAAAAAUGAGAGAGCAACGGAUGUUGAAAAACGCGGGAAAUGCACAUUUCCUCUGUCGGGACGACCCGCGCACAGAUCGUCAAUGUCGAACAGAGUGUGGUACGCUGGCUUGGAAAACCGGCAAGCUAAUCGGUGUCGUUACCGGGAUAAUCACGCAAGUUGUACCAGCACAGUGCUGUGACGAAAAUCCACAACCGUGUCACACACGCACACAGAAGCAUGCAUCGCCCGUUCUUGGAUUAGGUCUCUCUUUUGGGGAGUAAUUCCACGGCACGCCCCGCUCACGGGAAGUUGAUGCUGAAGCGCUGUGCAUAAAGAGGUAGUGAACGAAUUAUUUAAUCGUUUCGUUAUUUAUUUACACUUGUGCAAGUAAACUAUUAUCAAGCAUAUGUUUGUUUUACAAUGCCCACCUUCCCCCCAGUAGAAUUCUAGUGAUUGAAUCGAUUUUCAAUACUUCCGUCUGACGGCUCACGACCUUUAUUCUCUCGCUCGUAUUAUUAGCGAGCAUUCGUACAAAAGAUGUUAAUACCGUUUCUUUGCUUACGCCUUACCGUUCGACAUUUUAAAGACACGCACCGUAACGCAGCGAUGUUCUUCGUGUUGGGGAGAGUUGGACGCGCUGCAACGCGAAACAACCUGCCGUUUCGCACAGAUGGGUAGACCGUAGAGGCGAUCAGUUGCAUCCCAAAUUGUGGUGUGGUGAAACAGGUUGUUAUGUGUGCAUACCGUGGAUGUAUUCGUCAGAACCCGAUAUUGCUUGGUCUUUGUGCUUAAUUUCUUUCCAGCCUUGCGUUCAGAUCGUUUGCAACAAUGCCGAAUGAGGAAACUGCUUGCAAGAUUUCAAAAGCUGGUUGGAAUAACGCACAAAAAGUAAGCUCACCGUGUGAAUGAAGGAUGGUAAGUUCCUCAUUAUCUCACCACCAAAACGAAUUAUCCGAAUGUAAGAACAGGGUUUCGCAGUGCAGUGGCUAUCCCUUACGGGGAAUAAAAUGUGAAUUAUCGAGCUGUUUGGUGUAACCUUUGCAGAUAAUUGAAUUGGGAAUAAAGAUGCCUUCCGUGGAGCAGUGCGAA